rnacentral:piRNA from 1 species
UUGGAUGUGCUAGUUGAGAUGGG